GCGCAUUCCGCUGGCGGCUUCCACGCACCUGCAGGGAGGACCAGGCUUGCUUUUACUCAGGUCGCAUGAGGAGGCGAUGCGGGCGCAACGUCGGGCCGCGUGACGGAAAAGUGAGGAAAGACUGAUAAUCUAUUGGAAAAAACCCUAUAAAAUUAGUUUCCCGGGGGACCAAGGGUUGGACCUCUCCGAUAGGGAUGCUCGCCAGACACAGCUGAAGCCAAGACGUUGUCUCGGUUCCCCAGCACUUUGGAAACACUCUUCAGGUGAUGCCAAAACUAAGAAGGAUACUCUUGAAUGUCAGCACAAUCGAACCGCUGACCAAUUGACAAACAUAGCCACCACCUCGCAAGAUCAUGAGGAAGCUGCACUGGCAAAAUGGGUCUAUUACCAAACUGGACACCUAGGGCCGCAAGCUAUGCACAGGCUGAAGUGAUUGUCAAAGGAAGUAAUAAUACUUUUGCAGUAAUGUUUCCUGGUCAAGAAAAAAUUGAAAUUCUGCCCACUAAUUUAAAUGUUUCUUUGGGAAUAAACAAUGGUCUUGGAAGUGGACGGCCCUAACCUUGUUAACUCUGACUUGGAUGACACCAGUGGACUCCGGACCCAUUUCCUUCCAACGUGAUGAAAACAUCUGGACCUACCUAACCAAAUGUGUGAUGAAUGUCUCUGAUUUCUGCUUGACCGGAGGGACAUACGUUAAACAAACUUUAUCUUAUUUGAUAGGAGUGUGCCUCCCCAAUGGGACUCAAGCUAUGAAUUUGACCAACGGUCCUUUACUGAAAAAAAAGUAUAUUAAUGUAAACCAAUUAGGCCAUCCUUAUCCCUAUAAGACAUCUGAUAUGUUCUCUAUCUGGGUUUGAAAUGUAACUUCACCUUCCCAAAGGUUUUAAACGAAUUAAGGAUAUAUCUCGUUUUGAUUGUAACAUUAUUGUUAUGGGAGGUCAAGUAACUUCUUAUGUAAAAUUACAUUCUGGAUGGUUUUUAAUCUGUGGCCGGAUGGCCUAUUCUUAUAUAUCUGCUAAUAUAACGGGGGGACCCUGCACAAUAGGGUCAUUUACUGUAUUCAUUCCUCAAAAGAGUCACAUAAACAUGACAACCCCUGUAAUUAGAAAAAGGCAUGGCCUAUCCCCAAAUUGUGUAUCUGAUCUGUCCUUAUUUAGCCCUGCCAAAUAUGUUUCCCUUAGUUUGUUUGUUCUCCCAGCCAUAUCCAUCGCUUAAAUGUUGAGAUAAGUCAUUUAGCAUGUAGCAUGGUUAAGGCUAUUAUUAAUGCCACCUCUAAAGCUAUUUCAGAAAUUAAUCAAAAAUUAAGUAGAGUUAGAAAAACAGUAUUAGAAAAUAGGGCUGCUCUUGAUUAUCUCCUGCUGCGACAUAAUCAUGGAUGUGAAGAGUUUAAGGAAAUGUGCUGUUUUAAUCUAUCUGAUAACUCCCGGCUAAUUGAAGGACAUCUCAAGGACCUUCGUGUUUUGUGCAAACGGAUUAUGCAGAGAGAGGGCUUCUUUGGCUUGGAUUUGUCUGCUGUCACAAAUUGGAUUAGAUCUUGCUGGCCAAUUUUUAAAAAAUAGACAUAUUUGAUUAUUGCUCUUAUUGCUAUGGUGUUAUGCACCUGCUGCUGUGUUCAAUAAUGCCCAUUGUGUGCUCAAGCAUGUCGCCUAUGUUAGCCUCACCACCAACAACCGUAUGAAAUAUACACCAAGAAGAGGUCCCCAAGGGUGAAGGGCCGAAUGUAAAGAAAAUAUAAUGUGAUUUAGGUGCCCCUUUGUGCGUCAAGGGAAUGCUUUGUCUGGGUGGCACCCGGACAUUGGCUCCCAUCAGCAGGAGAAAACUCGGAAAGGCCUCGCCAGCCUUGCUGGUUGACUAAUAGCUGACCCGCCGGUGGAACACAUGAAUAGGAUCACAUAGGUUGCCCCAUUGCUAUAGCAGCCUCAUGUACCUUGUAAAAUUGUCGAAACUGUGUCCCCUGCCUUCUGCCCUAAUUACCCUGAAACUUGCGAUUCAUUGUUCCCAUGCUUGCUGAUUGUAAUCGUUAUGGCCUAACAUUCUUUCCAGACUGGUAAUCUGUUGGAAAAAACCCUAUGAAAUUCGUUUCCUAGGUGAGCCCUAGUUGGAACUCUCUCAAAGGGACUCUCGCUGGACACACCUGAAGCCAAGACGCUGUCUCGGUUCCCCAGCGCCUUGGAAACACUCUUCAGGUGGUGAGAACUCGCAGUUACUCUUUGCCUUGCUUUGCUUUAUUCUGUCUAUCUUACUUAUUGCCUCACUUAAUAAAUAGUGUUUUGCUUCCUCAACUCUGUCUCAGUGUGCACGGUGAAUAUG